GCCAACACAUUCUUCAACGUGAACAGGGCUGCAACCACAUAUCUCCAUCGGACUCAGUAUCAAGCGUCUCUCUUUAUUUACACCCACCCUCAUUCCAACAAGAAAUGAAGCUUUGGUUUUUCCUUAUUCUCCUUAUGGUUGCCUAUGCCAACGCAUGUAAUACAAGCAAAAGAAUCUAUUGUUUUAAAAAACCAUAUAAUUGCCCCAGUGGGAUGAAAUGCCAACGGACUAUUUUUCCCAGUUAU